GACGUAGGGCGCGAGCGUUGUCCGGAUUUAUUGGGCGUAAAGAGCUCGUAGGCGGCUUGUCGCGUCGAAUGUGAAAUCUCAGGGCUCAACUCUGACAUUGCAUUCGAUACGGGCAGGCUCGAGUUCGGUAGGGGAGAUCGGAAUUCCUGGUGUAGCGGUGAAAUGCGCAGAUAUCAGGAGGAACACCGGUGGCGAAGGCGGAUCUCUGGGCCGAUACUGACGCUGAGGAGCGAAAGCGUGGGGAGCGAACAGG
rnacentral:rRNA from 1 species